UCUCGGGGGUAGUCAGUUGGUUAUUAUAUCUCCACUAAUAAGCAGAGAGGAGUAAAAUCUUCAAAGUAAGUUAUGUGGGUCAAGGUAUAGUGAUUAAUUGGAGUUCUAGUUCAUUUACUUUGAGAAAAUUAGAGUGUUUAAAGCAGCCUCUUGGGGCACUGAAUACAUUAGCAUGGGGAUAAUAAAAUAGGAUCUUCACAAUAUAUUUUAUUUGGUUUAAAUUUAGCGUAUGAAGAUAAUGAUUAAUAGGGACGAGUUGGGGGUUAGUUCAUAUUGGGUGGUUAGUCGGUGAAAUGCUCGGAUCCAUUCAAGAUGACUAAAGCGAAAGCAUUUUACCAAGGAUGUUUUCAUUAAUCAAGAACGAAAGUUAAGGGAUCGAAGACGAUUAGAUACCGUCGUAG
rnacentral:rRNA from 1 species